AUGGAAGGCAGCAACAUCUCACUGUCCUGCACAUAUACUGGAUCAGUUAACAGACUCCACUGGUAUCGACAAAAACCUGGAUCAAGACCUGAGUUUCUGCUGCUGAUUGAUGAAAGCAGUGAAUAUAUCGUCUCCUCUGCUGCUGUAUCAGACUCUGCUCUAUACUACUGUGACAAGAUGUAG